GAUGAACGCUGGCGGCGUGCUUAACACAUGCAAGUCGAACGGACAGGCCCUGCUUUUGUUGGGUGCUCGUGUGGCGCACGGGUGAGUAACACGUGAGUAACCUGCCCUUGACUUUGGGAUAACUUCAGGGAACUGGGGCUCAUAUAGGAUAUGAUCUCCUGCUGCAUGGUGGGGGAUGGUAAGUUUCGGCGGUUGGGGAUGGAAUCGCGGCGUAUCAGCCUGUUUGUGGGGUAGUGGCUUACCAAGGCUUUGACGGCUAGCCGGCAUGAGAGGGUGACCGGGCACAUGGGGACUGAGAGAGGGCCCAGAAGCCAACGGGAGGCAGCAGUGGGGAAUAUUGCACAAUGGGCGGAAGUCAGAGACAGCAACGCCGCGUGCGGGAUGACGUGCUUCGAGGGAUAAACCACUGUCGACUGUGACGAAGCGGGAGUGACGGUAAUGAGUAAAGAAGCAACGGCUAACUACGUG
rnacentral:rRNA from 1 species